GCAGCUGGGGAAGGGGACCAGCUGCAAGACAGCAUUCUCUCUCUAUUCCCCAAGGAGCAUUUGUCCAGACCCUGGGGAACACCCUCACCUGGAUUGCAGACCAGCGCUGUCUGCAGACACUCUGGCCACAAGUCACCAAUCUGUUCCUGACCAGUCCCACCAAGAAGCCAGGCAGACUUCUGAGGCGCAUCUCAGACCUGGAGGACUAACGGGGACAGCUGCGUCACCCAAACACCAACCCGCUGUCGCUGAGAACAUGGGCAGCGUCUGGCUUGCUGUACUGUAAAAAUGAAAGGCAUUUCUUGAGGCUGACAAGGUAGAACCUUCUGUGUGUCCCCUGCCAGCCUCCUCUCAAACCCCCAACCCCCUCCACCACCUGGCUUAGUGCAAUACUCCCAUCCCUGAUGGGGUCUCUUGCCAUGGUACUGUCACCACAGCCCACGGUCCCCAUCCCAACCUUGUUUUUAUGGCUGAACUGAUUUCAAAACACAACGAAACUGCAAACCUUGUGUGUCUUAAUUCUUACCGGGGCUUCCGCGUGCUCAGCCCCUGGUCUAGUAUGUGACAAUCCGGAGCGCAGCCUCCUGGGCGCCUCUGUAACCUUACAGCCACUGCUGGCCCUGAUAACACUCAUAUGCAGCCCCGGGCCCCUCCCUGCCACCCCUUCCUCUUUUUAUGUUGAAGAGUUCUCUAAUAAAUCGGGUAAUAAACA